ACGCGCGGGGCAGGAUCGGAGCCUACCACCGCCACCACCCUGCUGACGGUUGGUGGCUCGCAUGUCUUGCUCACCACCACCACCACGUUGCAGUGAGGAUGUACGCUGUGGAGUAUGAAGUUCGUUGUAAAUAACAUUCAGCCGUCGCCCGUGCCGCAGCCAUCUGAGGCGCUGACGCUCCCGCGGUGCUGCCUCGAGGAGCGACGACGGUAUGUCAUUGUACCACUCACGCUUUCAAGACACUAAACCUCACCAUGACCUUCCUACAGAAAACAAAUCGGCUCCACUGCCUACUGCACCCUUUGGAGCACUAGAGCUGUGACACAGCCUGCACGGCUCCAACAAACCCCCAAGAAGAGGAGCGACGACAUUCAGCUGCUGCAGACACCACCACCACCCGCGCACGUUGGAUUGAGUUUAGCGGCGGUGCUGACCAGAGCCACGAGUAAGGAGUUCGGGAGAGACUCAUCGAUAAUUAUUUUUUAAUAAAGAUUUCACCAGAA